rnacentral:rRNA from 2 species
UCGGAGAGUUUGAUCCUGGCUCAGGAUGAACGCUGGCGGCGUGCCUAAUACAUGCAAGUCGAGCGAACUGAUUAGAAGCUUGCUUCUAUGACGUUAGCGGCGGACGGGUGAGUAACACGUGGGCAACCUGCCUGUAAGACUGGGAUAACUCCGGGAAACCGGAGCUAAUACCGGAUAACAUUUUCUCUUGCAUAAGAGAAAAUUGAAAGAUGGUUUCGGCUAUCACUUACAGAUGGGCCCGCGGUGCAUUAGCUAGUUGGUGAGGUAACGGCUCACCAAGGCAACGAUGCAUAGCCGACCUGAGAGGGUGAUCGGCCACACUGGGACUGAGACACGGCCCAGACUCUUACGGGAGGCAGCAGUAGGGAAUCUUCCGCAAUGGACGAAAGUCUGACGGAGCAACGCCGCGUGAGUGAUGAAGGCUUUCGGGUCGUAAAACUCUGUUGUUAGGGAAGAACAAGUACAAGAGUAACUGCUUGUACCUUGACGGUACCUAACCAGAAAGCCACGGCUAACUACGUGCCAGCAGCCGCGGUAAUACGUAGGUGGCAAGCGUUAUCCGGAAUUAUUGGGCGUAAAGCGCGCGCAGGCGGUU